AGUGGGAUAACUGGGUCAAAUGGUGUUUCCAUUCCAAGUUUUCUGAGGAAUUUCUAUACUGCUUUCCAGAGUGGUUGUGCCAAUUUGCAGUCCUACCAGCAAU
rnacentral:pre_miRNA from 1 species